UAUAAAAGCUAGCUAUUAGUAGUUUUAUGUUAUGUAGCUUUGGCACCUCCACCGAGGCAUCAGCACCUGCGGUGCUUUCAUUUCUGAGGAUGUUUGCUGUUUAUAAAGUACAAAGGUUACAUGAUCUAACCCAAUUCACAGAAAAAACAGUGCUAAGUGUUCUGCAUCUAUAUAGAGUGGUAUACAGUAACAUGUAUAGCUAAUAACUUCCUAUAGUUCUCUUUUCAAAGGAACUGUUUGCAUGGGAUUGGAAGUACUACAUUACUUAGGUCAUCUACAUGUACAUGUAUGUCUCUUGUAUGUGGUCUAACCCAAUUUCAUAGUAAGAAACCUGUUAUUGCAAUUGCUAAUCACGCUGACGGUAAAUCUACAAUGUUAAAAGGAAUCACUGUUAACAAGAAUUUCUGUGUCAUUGUCUGUCUAUAAAAGGGAAAUAGUUUGAAAUGCCUUCAUCCAGUACUGUUUAACAGUAACAGCAAGUGCUAAAGUUCCGUAUAAAAAUUAUUCUCUGCACAGUCAUGGCACUCCUUGUUGCAACUCGCCGGCAGGGUCAAGCUGUGUCUCCACAAAAUGGAUUUCCAACGGAGGGAGAUAAUGUUUCGAUUGAACCCGUUAGCGGUUCUGAAAACCAACAGUGGAUACUUAAUGAUAGCACUGGAAUCCCAGGUGUUUUCACAAUUGCGAACAAAAUUGACCCCUCACUUUUCCUUACUGCCCCACUUGAUCCAAGGAAUGGAGAUACAGUCAGUUUGUCCACCAAAAUUGGCGGUCUUGGUCGGCCAUCUCAGCAGCAACUGUGGAGACUCGUCCCUGAUGGUGGUGACUCCAAUUCUGUCAUACAGAAUUAUGCCAGAGGAACUGGUCUAGUGAUUGAUAUUCCGAGUGGAAACACAGGUGUUCCUAUUCAGAUGUGGGCUCGCCAAGGCAAUGCGAAUCAGUCGUUCUACGUAGACGCUGUGACAGCUGUUUAACACUCUGUGAAUGGCUGACUGAAUCACCAUUGAACAAAAUAUUAAUAUAUAGAUUUUGAAUAGAUGUACUUUCAGUGAUGAGAUGUAUCAUUUGAGAAGUGCAAUUUAUGAUCCAACAAAUACGA